AUUGAACGCUGGCGGCAUGCCUAACACAUGCAAGUCGAACGAUGACGAUGAGCUUGCUCAUUGGAUUAGUGGCGGACGGGUGAGUAACGUAUAGGGAUCUGCCCAGUAGAGGGGGACAACAACCGGAAACGGUUGCUAAUACCGCAUACGCUCUAAGGAGGAAAGUGGGGGACCUUAUGGCCUCACGCUACUGGAUGAACCUAUAUCAGAUUAGCUAGUUGGUGGGGUAAGGGCCUACCAAGGCGACGAUCUGUAGCUGGUCUGAGAGGAUGAUCAGCCACACUGGGACUGAGACACGGCCCAGACUCCUACGGGAGGCAGCAGUGGGGAAUAUUGGACAAUGGGGGCAACCCUGAUCCAGCAAUGCCGCGUGUGUGAAGAAGGCCUUCGGGUUGUAAAGCACUUUCAAUAGGGAGGAAAGUCAAUGGGUUAAUAGCCGAUUGAGGUGACGUUACCUAUAGAAGAAGCACCGGCUAACUCCGUGCCAGCCGCCGCCGUAACAC
rnacentral:rRNA from 1 species